CGGCUCAGUAACACGUAGUCAACCUACCCUAUGGACAAGAAUAAUCUCGGGAAACUGGGCAUAAUUCUUGAUAGAUCAUAAUGCCUGGAAUGGUUUAUGGUUAAAAUGAUUCGUCGCCAUAGGAUGGGACUGCGGCCUAUCAGCUUGUUGGUGAGGUAAUGGCCCACCAAGGCGAUUACAGGUACGGGCUCUGAGAGGAGAAGCCCGGAGAUGGGUACUGAGACACGGACCCAGGCCCUAUGGGGCGCAGCAGGCGAGAAAACUUUGCAAUGUGCGAAAGCACGACAAGGUUAAUCCGAGUGAUUUCUGCUAAAGAAAUCUUUUGCCAGUCAUAAAACCACUGGUGAAUAAGGGGUGGGCAAGUUCUGGUGUCAGCCGCCGCGGUAAAACCAGCACCUCAAGUGGUCAGGAUGAUUAUUGGGCCUAAAGCAUCCGUAGCCGGCUUUGUAAGUUUUCGGUUAAAUCCAUGUGCUCAACGCAUGGGCUGCCGAAAAUACUGCAUGGCUAGGGAGUGGGAGAGGUAGACGGUACUCAGUAGGAAGGGGUAAAAUCCUUUGAUCUAUUGAUGACCACCUGUGGCGAAGGCGGUCUACCAGAACACGUUCGACGGUGAGGGGUGAAAGCUGGGGGAGCAAACCGGAUUAGAUACCCGGGUAGUCCCAGCUGUAAACGAUGCAGACUCGAUGAUGCAUUGGCAUAAUAGCCAGUGCAGUGUCACAGGGAAGCCGUUAAGUCUGCCGCCUGGGAAGUACGUACGCAAGUAUGAAACUUAAAGGA
rnacentral:rRNA from 1 species